GACGAACGCUGGCGGCGUGCUUAACACAUGCAAGUCGAACGAUGAAAGCUGGAGCUUGCUCCGGCUGGAUUAGUGGCGAACGGGUGAGUAACACGUGAGCAAUCUGCCCUUGACUCUGGGAUAACUCCGAGAAAUCGGUGCUAAUACCGGAUAUGACCCUUGGCGGCAUCCCUGGGGGUGGAAAGUCGUUCGGUCAAGGAUGAGCUCGCGGCCUAUCAGCUUGUUGGUGAGGUAAUGGCUCACCAAGGCGACGACGGGUAGCCGGCCUGAGAGGGUGCCCGGCCACACUGGGACUGAGACACGGCCCAGACUCCUACGGGAGGCAGCAGUGAGGAAUAUUGCACAAUGGGCGCAAGCCUGAUGCAGCAACGCCGCGUGGGGGAUGACGGCCUUCGGGUUGUAAACCUCUUUUGGCAGGGAAGAAGCGAAAGUGACGGUACCUGCAGAAAAAGCACCGGCUAACUACGUGCCAGCCGCCGCUGUAA
rnacentral:rRNA from 1 species